CAAAAAAGCUACGCCACGGAAAAAGAAGGCGUAGCCCAUAGGCGUCCAUGGAACGGCGAAAAAUCAGCCCCCUCUCUGAGCGCCUCGCCCCGCCCCUAUGGCCCGAAGGAGCAUAGGAUGAGAACUAUCCCGGGGACCAAUCAGCAUGCGCGCCCGGCGUGGACGAGCCCCCCUCUCUGCACCCAAUCACCUGCGACCGCGCCCUACAAAACAUCCGGCCAGCGCCACCCAAACCCCCAGGUGCCCUGACUCUGGCGCUCCCACCUGGUGAUGACCGACGGAGCGCUGACAGGCACAUCCAGGGCAUGGCUGCUCCCCCGCGCCCCGCCCUCCCCAAACAUCUCUGACGGACG